rnacentral:misc_RNA from 1 species
AUUAAAAUAUUUUUUUUUUUACUUUUCGCUGCGUUUAUAUGUGCUUUAAUUCCCGACAAAACUAUACAGCAUGAUUACAAUUCUGAUCUCAUCUUCUAGUUGACAAGCCUCUAAUAGGUCUAUAUAUUAAGCGUGUACUUACACAUUACAAUAUUAAAACACCAUGGACACAUAUUACAAAGUAUUACAAAGUAGACUUCUGCAAAUUUACUUUCCCUCCACAAGUGUCACCCAAACUUAUGCAUAAGGUGACAUUUCUUCUAACUUUAUGAGUUAGUAGCAUUUGUAUACUAUGACCCCAUAAAUUGGAUUGAUCCUGCAUUCAAUAGCCAUUAUCAAAUUAGCACUACAGUUGAAAAAGAAAAAUCAAUCCCACGUUAGAUCUAGAGGCCAGGAGAAUUUAUCAAACCUUUCCAGUCAGCCACUUGACAGCAAAAAAGUUGCUAGGAAUCUGUAUUUUAUAUUUUUGAUCACGUUGAUUCUAUAAACAAAUCCCAUUUUCUUUCAUAGAACAUAUAGUCAAUUGUUGAACAUUUUCUUCAGCAAUGAAGCUUAAUAAUCAAAUAUGACUGUUUGACAAACUACCUCCAAGAAUUUUGCUCGAUAUAAUGACCCAUUUUAUAUAUUUUAUUAUUUAAAAUUUGCAUUUGAUUAAUUUGGUUUCUGUAACUGUAUUUUAUUCAUUUAUUUUUUGUAAUCAUAUUCUUAACAACUCAUUAACUCUCUAUAAUUACUAUAAUAGCGUUCAUUAAUGCGCCAAUCAUUUUCUUACCUCAAAUCAAGCACUGCUUCCUUCUGGCAGUGUAAUCAAUCGUGUCUUGGAAUCAUACACCAUUUCUGUUCCACAACUGCAGCAAAAUAUUGCAGAAAUGUAAAACUAAGCAAGAUCACGAGAAAUACUGCAGUAACAUGACUAGCUAACAACUUUGAACUUACUUUGAGCAUUUGACGUCGUUGGUGGAACCACCGCUUGAAACUGACAAUAUGGUUCCAAAGAAGGACUGGUUCUCGGUGCCACAGUUGGGACAGGGGCCCUGGAAAAUGAUGCAAUUAUUCACUAAUAUGUCAUUAAGUAGCCUGCUCAUUAGAUGCUUAGAAAAAACAUCAUUGCAGAUUCUACCUUCAAUAUCAAAAAGUCUUUUACAAUUGCAUUUGUAAAAGAUAGAGAUAACCAAACUAUGAGGGGCACAGCAGCGAACCAUGUGAAAAUGAAGCUGAAUGGCUCUGGAAGCUGAAGAAAAAAAUUACAAAAAUCUAUGACUGAAACGGAAAGUGCAUACAAUAAUGACAGAUGAUAUCCAAGAAACUCCAAGUACUGAUUGUUUUAUUCUGUAUCAUACCUCACUCACUGGCAAUAUGAACAAUAUUGUCAAUGGGUAAAUUCUAUCCGAUUGACCAACCCAUUCAAUGAAUGGAAAAAUGACUGUUCUUUGUAGUUUGUACUGUAAUCAUUGUUGAGUAGCUAAUGAAUUAUGUAAAUUUGUUGUUGAGCCCAAUUCUAAAUAGGAUCAAAAAUUAAUUAGAUUUUGAAAUUUAAUUAGGAUUAAAGGAAAAAAGAAAAGAAAUAGGGGAGAGGUUAAAGGAAAAAAAGUAAAAAGGGAAAGGUUAGUGAAAUUCUGUAACCGAAUUAGUGAGGGAGUCCUGUCCAAGUCCAUGUAUAACUUGGCUUUCCUUGAAGUGCUGCAGGCUUAUGUUGUGAAGCUUGCAAAUAGGAGAGCUUUCUCCUUGAUUUGAUUGCAGCAAGCUGUAGUUUGGGGUGGAUUAUGGUGUCACAAUCUGAAGAAGUGUGUGCACUUGAAUUAUUUGUAAUUUGUGUGCAAUGAGGUGUGCGGCCAUGAGUUGUGAGAGUAGAAAUUAUUUGUGAGAGUGUUUGAAAGUAUAAUUUGCAAUUAUUUUUUGUUGAUAGUUGACUGUUUUGGAAUAGGACUUUGCCAAAUCACUUUAAAUUUUAUAUUAUUGAUCUAUAGAGUAAUCUUAAUAAUGAGUGAUAAUAGAGCUUUAAUUCGAAAUUUCAAAGUUUCCUAUUUUAGCUUUUCGGUUUUGCAGUUCAGAAAUAAACCGAAAUGUUCAUUUGCACAUAUCCAAGUUUCAUGAUCAUGAAGAGCGGGAAGUUUAACGUGAGAAAUCUCUCCAAAUUGAAAGGUGGCAUAUUGGUUGGAAGUAUAGGGUUGAAGCAAUAGACAAUAUCAAUAAUCAAAAGCGUAAAGAAGUAAUAAAGUGAAAAUUGAAUUUUACACAAGUUAUGAAAACUAAUUUUAUUUUAUUUAGAGAUCGAAGAUUGUUAAGUAUAAGUUUAAAUAGGAUUAAGAAUUAGAUUUAAAAUUUAAUAAGGAAGAUUAAAGGAAAAAUUUAAGAAGAAAAGGGGAGGUUAGUGAAAUUCAGUAUUAUAAACUGAAAUAGUGAGGGAAUCUUGUGCGGGUCCAGGUCCAUGUAGAAAUUGGCUUGACUUAGUGUCGCAGGCUUAAUUAAACCUUAUAAUUUUGAGGGUUUUCUCAUUGACUUGGGUGCCACAAGUUAUGUGCACUUAAAUUAUUAGUGAUUUGUGUGCAAUGAGAUUUACAAUCGUGAGUUAUGAGUGUAGUAAUUAUUUGUGAGUUUUUGAUAAUUAAUUAGUGUUCAUAAUUAUUUUUCUCUUGAUAUUGAGUUGUUUGUGGAAUAAACUUAUGCUAAACUACUUUAAAUUGAAUUGUUUACCUCCAAAAGAUAUGAUAUUUCAAAUCCAGUCAGAUCAUCCAAGAAGAAAAACCUGUUAGAACAAACACAAAUGAAAUUCAGACCUACACAGUUUUAAUGAAAUUAUUGUUAAAGUGGUAAUGGUAAGUUUAGUCAGGCAGCAGCACUAAAUAAGACUUGAUAGAGAACCAGCAACUACAAAUGAAGUUUCACAAGGACAUUUCAUAAGCGUUUAAACUUCAAGUACUCAUAAUCUAUAUUUGAGUGAAGAAGGGAAUAUUACUUACAAGCCUAGUGCAACAACAGUGGCAGGGACAUUCAGCAAGAACAUCUUUAAAUAGUCAACGGAUAAGUCACUGUAAACCUUUCUACUACGGAGACUGCAUCUUGGACCCUCAACUACGAUUUCACUGCCUUCUUGCUUUAAUUUUAGCUUCAAAUUAUCAAACUCUUCAUCACUCAAAAUUGGAUUCCCAGAUACAUAAGCCAUUGAGGCUUCCAAAAACUUCUGCUCAUCAGAACUUAGCAUAACAACACUGCUUCCUUCCCACAUUAGCUCUUCCUUGAGAUUAUCAAAUUCUUCAUUCGACAUUAUAGCUUUCCCCUCAUAAUAAAAUGCUUGUAAUGCUUGAAGAAACUCCUGCUCCAUUUCACCUAUUGACCUUUUGUCUUUCUUGUCUAUGCUACAAUAUUGCAGAAUUUUACUAUCAACAAUCUCAUUUUCUUCGACCUGACCUUGUUGAUCAGCAGUAGCCUUGACUGGAAGCAAAAAAAUUCUGCGUCGUACAGAGAAAUGCCUUCCAUUGAGCUGAAAUGACUGAACCCUUGUACAAGAUGAACAAGGAGAAGAAGAUAAAGAGAAGAAAGGUUUCCGGAUAAGAGCAGAGGAGACACGAGGGGAAGUAAAAGAGAAGGCCAAUUUGGUAUCCAUUGGAAUCGUGAAACUGUGGUCUCAGGUGUAGGUGUCAGUCUGAAAUGGAGAUUAUUUUGGCUAAUGGGUUGCAAUUUUUGUGAUGAUAUUUUCUCCUGUUUGGAGGGAAACGAACACAGAGAGAACCUCUAAGGAUAAGGCAAUGGAGAAAUGUGUGGAGGGAAAUGUAACGGUAUUUUCA